rnacentral:rRNA from 1 species
UACGUAGGGGGCUAGCGUUGUCCGGAUUUAUUGGGCGUAAAGAGCGUGUAGGCGGCCUGGUAGGUCUGCUGUGAAAACUCGAGGCUCAACCUCGAGAUGUCGGCGGAAACCAUCUGGCUAGAGUCCGGAAGAGGAGAGUGGAAUUCCUGGUGUAGCGGUGAAAUGCGCAGAUAUCAGGAGGAACACCUAUUGCGAAGGCAGCUCGCUGGGACGUAACUGACGCUGAGACGCGAAAGCGUGGGGAGCAAACAGG